AAUAGGAGAAUGACAAAUCAGAUUUUUCCUAUUAAUUUUUAGCUUUUUUAUCCUAAAAAACUCAAAUUCAACAAAAAAAUUCUAAAAAUCAGGAAGAAAAAUCUGAUUUGUCAUUCUCCUAUU
rfam:Gossypium hirsutum cultivar TM-1 unplaced genomic scaffold scaffold1048.1, whole genome shotgun sequence